AGGGUUUGAUCAUGGCUCAGAACGUACGCUGGCGGCACGCCUAAUACAUGCAAGUCGAACGAAGUAGCAAUACUUAGUGGCAGACGGGUGAGUAACAUGUAGGUAUCUACCCUUUGGCCCGGAAUAACACGAGGAAACUUGUGCUAAUACCGGAUAAGUCUUUACGGAGAAAGCUUUAUGCACCAUUGGACGAGCCUGCACUUGAUUAGUUUGUUGGUGGGGUAAUGGCCUACCAAGACAAUGAUCAAUAGCUGAUUUGAGAGGAUGAUCAGCCACAUUGGGACUGAGACACGGCCCAAACUCCUACGGGAGGCAGCAGUAGGGAAUCUUGCACAAUGGAGGAAACUCUGAUGCAGCGAUGCCGCGUGAGUGAAGAAGGCCUUUGGGUUGUAAAGCUCUUUCGUCGGGGAAGAAAAUGACUGUACCCGAAUAAGAAGGUCCGGCUAACUUCGUGCCAGCCGCCGCGGUAAUAC
rnacentral:rRNA from 1 species